rnacentral:rRNA from 1 species
GCAAUGGCACCCUGACGGCUCAAACUCUUACAAACUUGGUCAUUUAGAGGAAGUAAAAGUCGUAACAAGGUAUCUGUAGGUGAACCUGCAGAUGGAUCAUUU